rnacentral:rRNA from 1 species
GUACUGUGAAGGAGAAGAUAAGAUAGGAGUAAUAAUAAUUUAGAGUUAGUACCUUUUGUAUCAGGGUAAAUUAAUAUGAGAUAUAAUAAUAAAUUUCGAAAUUAAUUGAGCUAUAAGAAAGUGAGUUUAUUUAUAGAAAAAAAAAAGUACUUUCUUAUAGAGAUGAAAAUUCUAACGAGAUUAAUGAUAUCUAAUUAAAAAUGAAAUAAUUAAAUUAUUUAUUUAUAUAAGAGAAGAUUAAUUGGGUAAGCUAAUUAACUUAAAAUAGUAUAAAGGUAGUAACGAUAACUAAGCUUUAAAUUAGCUAUGAUUAUAUAUUGUAUUAAAUAAUUUUGAGAUAAAAAAUAAAUAUUUGUAAUUAAUUUUUUAUUUUUUAAAAUAAAAAAGGAAAAACAAAAAUGAUUUAAUUAGUAUUUUUGGUCUUUAAAGAGAAUUAACUGGAUUAAAUUUUGACUGUUUAACAAAAACAUUUUUUUCUGGUAAAUGGAAAAUAAGGCCUGCCCGGUGAGAAUUUAACGGCUGCGGUAUUUUGACCGUGCUAAGGUAGCAUAAUAAAUUGUUUUUUAAUUGGAAACUGGAAUGAAAGGUUAAACAAUUUUUAAGUUUAUAUAUUUUAAUUUAUGAAUUUUUAUUAUAAGUAAAAAUACUUAUAUUAUAUAAAGGGACGAUAAGACCCUAGAAGCUUUAGUUUAUUUAAUUGCAAAAUAGUUUUAUUUAAAAUUUGUUUGAUGUGAAACUUUGAUUGGGGAAAUAAUAAUUUUAUAAAUAAUUAUUAAUAAAAUAUAUAAGUUUUUUAAUGAUCUUUAAUAUAAGAAUGAAUAGUAUUAGUUACUCUAGGGAUAACAGCGUGAUAAUUUUGGAUAGACCUUAUAUAUAAAAUUGAUUACGACCUCGAUGUUGAAUUAAAAUAUCUUUAUAAAGUAGAAAUUAUGGAAGAAGGUUUGUUCAACCUUUAAUAUUUUACAUGAUUUGAGUUCAGACCGGUUUAAGCCAGGUCGGUUUCUAUCUUUUAUAAAAUAAAAAUUUUUUUAGUACGAAAGGACCAAAAAAUUUUAAUAUUU